rnacentral:rRNA from 1 species
GACGUAGGGGGCCAGCGUUGUUCGGAAUUACUGGGUGUAAAGGGUUCGUAGGCGGUGCGGCAAGUUGGGAGUGAAAUCUCUGGGCUUAACCCACGAGGCUGCUUCCAAAACUGCUGUGCUUGAGUGGUGGGAGAGGCGCGUGGAAUUGCAGGUGUAGCGGUGAAAUGCGUAGAUAUCUGCAGGAACACCCGUGGCGAAAGCGGCGCGCUGGACCACUACUGACGCUGAGGAACGAAAGCUAGGGGAGCAAACAGG